rnacentral:misc_RNA from 1 species
GCAAACUUGGUCAUUUAGAGGAAGUAAAAGUCGUAACAAGGUCUCCGUUGGUGAACCAGCGGAGGGAUCAUUAUAGAGUUAAUUACAACUCCAAACCCAUGUGAACAUACCUCUCGUUGCCUCGGCAGGUCGUGUCUACCCUGUAGUCCCUAACCGGGAGCACCUACCCGGUAGACACGGUUAACCUGUCAGUGGCCCACGAAACUCUGUUUUAAUUUUGGAAUUCUGAUUACUAUAACUAAAUAAGUUAAAACUUUCAACAACGGAUCUCUUGGUUCUGGCAUCGAUGAAGAACGCAGC